rnacentral:rRNA from 1 species
UACGUAGGGGGCAAGCGUUGUCCGGAUUUAUUGGGCGUCAAGAGCGUGUAGGCGGUUUGGUAGGUCCGUUGUGAAAACUCGAGGCUCAACCUCGAGACGCCGAUGGAAACCAUCAGACUAGAGUCCGGAAGAGGAGAGUGGAAUUCCUGGUGUAGCGGUGAAAUGCGCAGAUAUCAGGAAGAACACCCGUGGCUAAGGCGGCUCUCUAGUACGGUACUGACGCUGAGACGCGAAAGCGUGGGGAGCGAACAGG